AUCACUAAUUGGAAUUUAGGUUUUUUUCGAACCUAUUUUCUUUAUGAUCUGUGCAAUGUGGACCACCUUUGGAGUGGUCUUUGACUUGCGGUUAUAAAUAUCCUUAACUUCGGUUGAGGUAACCGCAAAGGUUUUUCGGAACCAACCUUUAUCUAUAAAUUAUCUGAAUCAUAUCAAUGAAAGGUUAUUUGGUCUUAAUUGACUUGCCUUUUGACUUGAAUGUGGUCUUUUUGGACUACGAAAACAACUUUUAGCAAUGGAUCUCUUGGUUCUCGCAUCGAUGAAGAGCGUAGCAAAUUGCGAUAAUUAGUGCGAAUUGCAGACUUUGCGAAUCAUCGAGUUCUUGAACGCACCUUGCACCUAAUGGUUUAUUCUAUUAGGUACGGUUGUUUCAGUAUCACAAAACUCAACAACCUAUUCAUUUUUUUUUUUGAAUACGAGUUGGAGAUGGAUCUUUUGGAUUGACUCGUUCAACCUAAAUGGUCUGAAAUCUAUAUACCAAAAAUCUUGGGUUUGUCCAAGAGACUGGAUCAUAAUUGGUUUAAUGUCUGGUCUUGAGAAUCUAAACUUUUGGUAGUAAACU
rnacentral:misc_RNA from 1 species